rnacentral:rRNA from 1 species
UCGGAUUAGCUAGUUGGUGAGGUAAUGGCUCACCAAGGCAGCGAUCCGUAGCUGGUCUGAGAGGAUGAUCAGCCACAUCGGGACUGAGACACGGCCCGAACUCCUACGGGAGGCAGCAGUGGGGAAUAUUGGACAAUGGGGGCAACCCUGAUCCAGCCAUGCCGCGUGUGUGAAGAAGGCCCUCGGGUUGUAAAGCACUUUCAGCGAGGAAGAACGCCUAGUGGUUAAUACCCAUUAGGAAAGACAUCACUCGCAGAAGAAGCACCGGCUAACUCCGUGCCAGCAGCCGCGGUAAUACGGAGGGUGCAAGCGUUAAUCGGAAUUACUGGGCGUAAAGCGCGCGUAGGUGGCUUGAUAAGCCGGUUGUGAAAGCCCCGGGCUCAACCUGGGAACGGCAUCCGGAACUGUCAGGCUAGAGUGCAGGAGAGGAAGGUAGAAUUCCCGGUGUAGCGGUGAAAUGCGUAGAGAUCGGGAGGAAUACCAGUGGCGAAGGCGGCCUUCUGGACUGACACUGACACUGAGGUGCGAAAGCGUGGGUAGCAAACAGGAUUAGAUACCCUGGUAGUCCACGCCGUAAACGAUGUCGACCAGCCGUUGGGUGCCUAGCGCACUUUGUGGCGAAGUUAACGCGAUAAGUCGACCGCCUGGGGAGUACGGCCGCAAGGUUAAAACUCAAAUGAAUUGACGGGGGCCCGCACAAGCGGUGGAGCAUGUGGUUUAAUUCGAUGCAACGCGAAGAACCUUACCUACCCUUGACAUCGACAGAAGCCGAGAGAGAUCUUGGUGUGCCUUCGGGAACUGUCAGACAGGUGCUGCAUGGCUGUCGUCAGCUCGUGUUGUGAAAUGUUGGGUUAAGUCCCGUAACGAGCGCAACCCUUGUCCUUAUUUGCCAGCGCGUAAUGGCGGGAACUCUAAGGAGACUGCCGGUGACAAACCGGAGGAAGGUGGGGACGACGUCAAGUCAUCAUGGCCCUUACGGGUAGGGCUACACACGUGCUACAAUGGCCGGUACAAAGGGCAGCGAGCUCGCGAGAGUCAGCGAAUCCCUUAAAGCCGGUCUCAGUCCGGAUCGGAGUCUGCAACUCGACUCCGGAAGUCGGAAUCGCUAGU